rnacentral:rRNA from 1 species
ACGAACGCUGGCGGCGUGCCUAAUACAUGCAAGUAGAACGCUGAAGGAGGAGCUUGCUUCUCUGGAUGAGUUGCGAACGGGUGAGUAACGCGUAGGUAACCUGCCUGGUAGCGGGGGAUAACUAUUGGAAACGAUAGCUAAUACCGCAUAACAGUAGAUGUUGCAUGACAUUUGCUUAAAAAGGUGCAAUUGCAUCACUACCAGAUGGACCUGCGUUGUAUUAGCUAGUUGGUGGGGUAACGGCUCACCAAGGCGACGAUACAUAGCCGACCUGAGAGGGUGAUCGGCCACACUGGGACUGAGACACGGCCCAGACUCCUACGGGAGGCAGCAGUAGGGAAUCUUCGGCAAUGGACGGAAGUCUGACCGAGCAACGCCGCGUGAGUGAAGAAG